GAUGAACGCUGGCGGCGUGCCUAAUACAUGCAAGUCGAGCGAACAGACGAGGAGCUUGCUCCUCUGACGUUAGCGGCGGACGGGUGAGUAACACGUGGAUAACCUACCUAUAAGACUGGGAUAAUUUCGGGAAACCGGAGCUAAUACCGGAUAAUAUAUCGAACCGCAUGGUUCAAUAGUGAAAGACGGUUUUGCUGUCACUAAUAGAUGAAUCCGGGCCGCAUUAGUUAGUUGGUAAGGGAACGGCUUACCAAGGCUACGAUGCGUAGCCGACCUGAGGGGGUGAUCCGCCACACUGGAACUGAGGCACGUUCCAGACUCCUACGGGGGGCCGCCGUAGGGAAUCUUCCGCAAUGGGCCAAAGCCUGACGGAGCAACGCCGCCUGAGUGAUGAAGGUCUUCGGAUCGUAAAACUCUGUUAUUAGGGAAGAACAAAUGUGUAAGUAACUAUGCACGUCUUGACGGUACCUAAUCAGAAAGCCACGGCUAACUACGUG
rnacentral:rRNA from 1 species